CUCAUCUUUCUUUAGAACCUUCUCCUUUGUUUUCUACUCUAAUCAAACAUUUCCAUCCCUGGUGAAGCUCCAUUUCUGUAGCAAAAGUGACUCAGAACAGAACCAAACCUUCCAGUUCAUUAAUUCUAGAUUGAGAGGAAGUUUCAAGGUGGAAGUCUCUUCUGUACUCGGUCUUGUCAGCCAACUUCGACAGCUGAAAAAUGUCACUUCUGCUAUUCACAUCACCACGACUUCUGCAUGAAAGUUGUUUGAAAUUGUGUCUUCUAUAGUUUGCCUGAAAAUCAUUAUAAUCCAACGGUUAAUUCGUUCUCAAUCAAGUUUCUACUCAGAUUGGGUCAUGUUUCUCCCUCGACAUUGAGUUGAUUUGAUGAAGUUUCCAUCUCCAUUUUGAGUAUACACAAUUGAUUUGAUGACAAUUGGAAUGGGGACAUGCAGUGGACUUCGAUCACCAAAGGAACAAUGAUAGAGGUGGUGGCUAGUUCGUCGAUAUGAUUUCCAUUGCUAAGCUAUCAAGAUGCUUCAUAUUCGAUUCCAGGUAGGGAGGCUUCACUCUAGUUAGUGCUCUUUUGUUUUAUACAUUGUUUUUAUGGUUUGAAGUGGUUUUUAAGAUUUAACACUUGAGUUAAUGAGAUGACUUGAGAGUGAGCGGGGCAUAGCUACUUCCUUGGGUUUCGAUCCCCUAAACCUCCGGAGGGGCUGUACGGACAGGAUAGUGUCUGACAUCCUUUGAGGUGUGACACUAGAUCUAGGUGGUACGGCGUAAAUGGACACUCUCGCUACUCUUCACCUGUUGUUGAAGAUUUAAAUCUUCGGUGAGGAUGUAGUUGGCUAGUAUUAGACCGGUCAUCAGGUUUGAUUUCACCCGGUUGGUCUUGCAGGUACUGUGCACGAGGAUUGAGGAGGAUUUCGGGACUGAGCUGGGUGUUACAUUUUUUUUUACUUGACUCCAGUAUAUUUACCUUCACAUUUUAUUCACCUCUACUAAAUUGUCAUUGUUUGAUUGAGGUGAAUGUUGACUUGUAUUUGUGAAUCUUUGCUGAGCUUCUUAAUUAACUUUGUAUUCAGAUCGUUUGAACCAAACUAGAUUUAUUUUGAAUGUUGUCCUUUCAGUAGUGUGUCAAUUGAGUAGUAAUGUCUCUCUUGACAUUGUUUAGUUAUAAUGUUCUUUUAACAAACAAGAAUAAAGUUUUCAAUUUCAC